rnacentral:rRNA from 1 species
AUUGAACGCUGGCGGCAUGCUUUACACAUGCAAGUCGAACGGCAGCGCGGGCUUCGGCCUGGCGGCGAGUGGCGAACGGGUGAGUAAUGCAUCGGAACGUGCCCAGUAGUGGGGGAUAGCCCGGCGAAAGCCGGAUUAAUACCGCAUACGACCUGAGGGUGAAAGCGGGGGACCGAAAGGCCUCGCGCUAUUGGAGCGGCCGAUGUCGGAUUAGCUAGUUGGUGGGGUAAAGCUUACCAAGGCGACGAUCCGUAGCUGGUCUGAGAGGACGACCAGCCACACUGGGACUGAGACACGGCCCAGACUCCUACGGGAGGCAGCAGUGGGGAAUUUUGGACAAUGGGGGCAACCCUGAUCCAGCCAUGCCGCGUGCGGGAAGAAGGCCUUCGGGUUGUAAACCGCUUUUGUUCGGGAAGAAAUCCUCUGGGCUAAUACCCCGGGGGGAUGACGGUACCGGAAGAAUAAGCACCGGCUAACUACGUG